AUUGAACGCUGGCGGCAGGCCUAACACAUGCAAGUCGAACGAGUGGCGGACGGGUGAGUAAUGUCUGGGAAACUGCCUGAUGGAGGGGGAUAACUACUGGAAACGUUCGCUAAUACCGCCUACCAUCAGCUGUACACAAAUGGGAUUAGCUAGUUGGUGGGGUAACGGCUAACCACGGCGACCAUCCCUAGCUGGUCUGAGAGGAUGACCAGCCACACUGGAACUGAGACACGGUCCAGACUCCUACGGGAGGAAGCAGUGGGGAAUAUUGCACAAUGGGCGCAAGCCUGAUGCAGCCAUGCCGCGUGUAUGAAGAAGGCCUUCGGGUUGUAAAGUACUUUCAGCGGGGAGGCGUUACCCGCAGAAGAAGCACCGGCUAACUCCGGGCCAGCAGCCGCGGUAAUAC
rnacentral:rRNA from 1 species